AACGAGAGAGAGCCAAGCAGACAGAAAUUAAUCCAAACAGAAGAAACAAUGAUACUAUUAUGAAGAAAAUUCUGAUUAUCGGGUAUAAUUUAACAAAUAAUGUUGCAUACCAAACGAAAGAAGUCCCGUAAAGAAAACAAGUGUAAACAAAAGGAAGAGAAUGAUUAAUUCCACAUCAGAAAUGGCUAAGGAUCACUCGCUUAUGAAGGCGGUGAUUAUGGAGACAAAAGAUGACAGGAAAAUUUUGAAACUCUAUCGAGAUAUUUAAACAGAAUGUUGCUGUUAUUGGUUAGAAUGCAAAAACUAUAAUAUUAGAAGAAAGAUCUUUGUGAACGCCAUUUUCUUUCGACGAUUGGAUGAAAAAGAAAUAGAUAUGCGAGAACGAGAGGAUUGAAUUGUUAAACAGAUGAAUAAUGCGAUAGUAAACUUGGACGUUUAACCAAGUAAAAAGUGCCUCACGGGAGGAGUUUUACCUGAAAAUUACCUCAAAUUA